rfam:Struthio camelus australis contig6588, whole genome shotgun sequence.
ACAGAGGCUCUUCUGAAGAGCCAUCCACAUCAUUCUACAAAGUUUUU